rnacentral:tRNA from 1 species
CACCCGAUGGCCGAUAAAAGCUGGGUCUUUUAAACCCAUCAUGGUGCCCGUCACCUCGGGUGA